rnacentral:rRNA from 1 species
AGAGUUUGAUCAUGGCUCAGGAUGAACGCUGGCGGCGUGCCUAAGACAUGCAAGUCGAGUGGGUUUAGACCCACGGCGAACGGGUGAGUAAUACCUAGGAACAUCAUUAUAGUUGAGGAUAUCCCAUCGAAAGAUGGUGCAAUACUCAAUGUCAUCGCAAGAUGAAAGUCGCAAGACGCUAUAAUCGUGGCCUGGGCACCAUCAGCUAGUUGGUAAGGUAACGGCUUACCAAGGCUAUGACGGUUAGGGGCCCCGAGAAGGGAAACCCCCACACUGGGACUGCGACACGGCCCAGACUCCUACGGGAGGCAGCAGUUUGGAAUUUUGGACAAUGGGCGAAAGCCUGAUCCAGCGACGCCGCGUGGACGAAGAAGGCCUUCGGGUUGUAAAGUCCUUUUGCUCGGGAACAAUUUUUGAGCGUACCGAGAGAAUAAGAGGUUGCUAACUCUGUGCCAGCAGCAGCGGUAAUACAGAGACCUCAAGCGUUAUCCGGAAUCAUUGGGCGUAAAGCGUUCCGAUAGGUGGUUUUGCAAGUCAGAAGUGAAAACUCGAUGCUCAACAUCGAGACUGUC